rnacentral:lncRNA from 1 species
UAAUCCUUCAUUCACAUGCACCAUCUUUUUGUACUUAGAAUCUCUUUAUUUUCUUGAUAACAUAGCCGCAUUGAUUUGACAUUGUAUACUUGUUGUGGUGCAGUUGAGCUCAAUUACUUUGGUAACUGGACUUUUCAUGUGCUUGCGUAGUGCAGCAAAGAUCACACACAAAGCGCAAGCCGUGACAUCACUUGCUGCCAAAUGGCAUGCUUGUGCGACAAUCAGCUCCUUUGAUGACAUGGAUAAUGAGACACCCACGGCUCAGAGUGCGACACCUCAGGUGGUAUACCCUAUCAAUUCCAGUUGGGACACCGAUGAGGAAGGAGACGGAGAUGAUGUCUUUGAUGACAUGGAUAAUGGGACUCCCACGGGUCAGACUGCAACAACUCAGGUUGUAUACCCUAUCAAUCCCAGUUGGGAUACUGACGAGGAAGGAGACGGAGAUGAUGUUUUGGACAACACAAAUAUGGUGCCGGUUCAUG